CCUAAAUGUUUUUCAUUUGGGAUGGUGCUUUUCAGCCUUUGGUUGGUCACAGAUCAGAGCUGCAGCCUAUAAAGGUGGGGAGUGAAGGCAGGCUGAGGGCUUACUUUGUGCUGGGACUUUCUGAACAGUAGGUAAAGAGCUGUUUUUUUCUUAUAUCAGGAAGAGAGCCCUGCCUUUGAAGGCUUUCCGAAGUGUCAAGCACUUUCUUUUGUCUGGACAUCUAAACAAAGUGUUGUCACCAGCAAAUACUGAUAUGGCUGUUUAGCCCUUUUCCAAACAAUCUCUCUUAUUAAUUGCAGCUUCAGAAAUAGCUCAGCAAUAUUUCAUUAUGAGUUUCAAAUUUAGGAAAACAGCAGCUAUGCUUCUAAGAGAUCUCCUGGAGGGAUGCCAUCAGUCAGUUUAAGAGCUGUCCUCUCUGAGACAAGGAGCUACCCUGGUGUUUCUGACAUCUCUUGCAGGUGUGUGUCUGACCAAAGCUCUCCCUUGGCUCCUGUCAGUUUCACUCGCUCUAGAUCUAAGUAAUGCCCUGGAACAUGUAAACACUCUGUGCCAGCAAUCUAGUUGCACUUUGGUUUAAGGUGAAGACUGUUUUUCUGUCUAGGCUCUCCUCAUGUACCUCGCUUAAUGUCUAACAGACUUAAACCUUCUCCUGUACACCAUCUGCCCACAUGCCCACUGGUUCUUUGCAGGAUACCUGGUGUAACUUAU